rnacentral:rRNA from 1 species
GACGAACGCUGGCGGCGUGCCUAAUACAUGCAAGUCGAGCGCUAAAGGCUGGUACUUGUACCAACUGGAUGAGCAGCGAACGGGGGAGUAACGCGUGGGGAAUCUGCCAUCGAGCGGGGGACAACAUUUGAAAACGAAUGCUAAUACCGCAUAAAAACUUUAAACACAAGUUUUAAGUUGGAAAGAUGCAAUUGCAUCACUCAAAGAUGAUUCCGCGCUGUAUUAGCUAGUUGGUGGGGUAAAGGCUCACCAAGGCGAAGGUACAUAGCCGACCUGAGAGGGUGGACGGCCACAGUGGGACUGGGACACGGCCCAAACGCCUGAGGGAGGCAGCAGGCAGGAAUCUUCAGCAAUGGACGAAAGGCUGAACGAGGAACGACGGGUGAGGGGAGGAGGAUGUCGGAUCGUGAAACUCUGUUGGUAGAGGAGAACGUUGGUGAGAGUGGAAAGCUCAUCUAGUGACGGUAACUACACAGAAAGCGACGGCUAACUACGUG